rnacentral:rRNA from 1 species
AUGGGUCUCGCUCGGCAUGCGACUACAGAAGUCGUGUCUGGUCCAUGGUGCGUUGUGUGGCGUGCUCGCCCGCCGAGAGAGGGUGUAAGAACUCCAAUCACACGGAGAGGUGGUUGUCUACUAAACCGAGUUUGCGAGUUGAUAGACCCGGACACAGGUUGCUGGGACGAAGCACCAGUAAGGAGCAUCUUUGUACAGGAAGAUGUGGAGGUCAUUUUGUCAACACCUAUCAAUGAUGAGUAUGGUGAUUUUUAUGCAUGGUAUUCUGACAGCAAGGGGCUUUUUUCAGUUAAGUCAGCGUACAAACUGUAUGUAAGGGAGAGAGAUGCCAACCUGGCCUCUUCUUCGGGUACAUCUCAAUCUAUGAUUCAGUGGAGGAAUAUUGGACUUAUGGAGGAACUAGCGACAAAAACUAGAUUCUGGGCAAAGGAGUCUCUGCAAUUUUGUAGAAAGGACAAUGUGCAGCAGGCGACUAGAGUGGAUCAGGUCUGGAAGCCACCAUUUGGAGAUGUUCUGAAGAUUAAUGUUGACGGUGCUUUUAUGUCUGGGCUAAAGACAGGAGGCUGGGGAUUUGUCAUCAGAGAUGGACAAGGAGAUGUGAUGGGAUCUGGUGCCGGCCAGUUGCAGAAUGUGGGCACUGCCAUCCAGGCAGAAGCUUCGGCUUGCUUGGAAGCUAUGCAUGCAGCAGCUAGUUGGGGCAUGGUGAAUAUACAGCUCGAGUCUGACUGUCUGAACCUAGUGAAAGCGGCCACAACUGUGGACUUCGAUCUUGCUCCGGAAGGUGUUCUAUUCCGUGAAAUUAGAAUGUUCGCUGCUCAUAAUUUCAAUGCUUUUUCGUUUUCAUUUGCCCCCAGGGGUUGUAAUAAGCUAGCGCAUUUUCUAGCCACACUUGGUGCUAAGGGACCGGAAGUGAGGCGUCUAUGGCUAGAAGCAUUACCGGAUGAUGUAAAUGAUCUAAGGGCUAGCACUGUUGCUAUGCCAGGUUAA